rnacentral:rRNA from 1 species
UACGAAGGGGGCUAGCGUUGCUCGGAAUCACUGGGCGUAAAGGGUGCGUAGGCGGUUCUUUAAGUCAGGGGUGAAAUCCUGGAGCUCAACUCCAGAACUGCCUUUGAUACUGAGGAUCUUGAGUUCGGGAGAGGUGAGUGGAACUGCGAGUGUAGAGGUGAAAUUCGUAGAUAUUAGGAAGAACACCAGUGGCGAAGGCGGCUCACUGGUCCGGUACUGACGCUGAGGUGCGAAAGCAUGGGGAGCAAACAGG